rnacentral:rRNA from 1 species
GACGAAGGGGGCUAGCGUUGUUCGGAAUUACUGGGCGUAAAGCGCGUGUAGGCGGUUGCCAAAGUCGGGUGUGAAAGCCUUGAGCUCAACUCAAGAAUUGCACUCGAUACUUGGUGACUAGAGGACCGGAGAGGAUAGUGGAAUUCCCAGUGUAGUGGUGAAAUACGUAGAGAUUGGGAAGAACACCAGUGGCGAAGGCGGCUAUCUGGACGGUUUCUGACGCUGAGACGCGAAAGCGUGGGGAGCAAACAGG